rnacentral:rRNA from 1 species
GAUGAACGCUAGCGGGAGGCCUAACACAUGCAAGCCGAGCGGUAUUUCUUCUUCGGGAGAGAGAGAGCGGCGUACGGGUGCGGAACACGUGUGCAACCUGCCUUUAUCUAGAGGAUAGCCUUUCGAAAGGAAGAUUAAUACUCUAUAAUAUAUUAAUUGGCAUCAAUUGAUAUUGAAAACUCCGGUGGAUAGAGAUGGGCACGCGCAAGAUUAGCUAGUUGGUGAGGUAACGGCUCACCAAGGCAAUGAUCUUUAGGGGGCCUGAGAGGGUGAUCCCCCACACUGGUACUGAGAAACGGACCAGACUCCUACGGGAGGCAGCAGUGAGGAAUAUUGGUCAAUGGGUGCAAGCUUGAACCAGCCAUCCCGCGUGAAGGAUUAAGGUCCUAUGGAUUGUAAACUUCUUUUGUAUAGGGAUAAACCUACCCUCGUGAGGGUAGCUGAAGGUACUAUACGAAUAAGCACCGGCUAACUCCGUGCCAGCAGCCGCGGUAA